AGUGGGAUAACUGAGUCAAAUUGUUCCAUUCCAAGUUUUCUUAGAAAUCUCCAUACUGCUUUCCAUAGUGGAUGCAUCAAUCUGCAAUCCCACCAGCAAU
rnacentral:pre_miRNA from 1 species